GCUCUCCACUGGCGAUCCCGGAGGGAACCGGGCAAGCCCCGGCCGUUCGCCGGUUUUUUGUCUUCUGGCUUCCGUGGGGCGGCUUGUGCGGUUCUUCACGCGGCGCCACCGAACGCCUUUAAUGGGAAUCCCACCAAAUCCCUGGACACAAAGAGCCUUUUUAGUAGCCUUGGAAGCAUACUAUGCUGAGAAGAAAGCAUGUGCCAAGAAAGAGGAAACUCCUAUAAUGGAGAAAAAAGAAUUCACCAGAAAGAGAGAAAAAUCAACAUCCAUUGUCCAUUUUACUCCACAUGUUCCAGAAACUACUUAGCCAAUCCUUUUCCUAUGGGAAAGAAGAUCUGAAGGGACAUGAUCUGUCAUACCGGAAAGCUUAUCAGUGCAGUGGGAAGCUUGGUCCGAACAGUGGCAGCCGCAGCAGCACUAGCAUACUUUUUUUUCCAGAUAAAUUUACUAGAUCAGAAAGAUGAAAUCAAUACAAAUCUGUAUUGGUAAAUGUACCUUCCUUACGUGAUUUGAACUUGUAGUCA